rnacentral:rRNA from 1 species
UACGUAGGGCGCAAGCGUUGUCCGGAAUUAUUGGGCGUAAAGAGCUCGUAGGUGGUUUGUUACGUCUGCUGUGAAAACCUAGGGCUUAACCCUGGGCCUGCAGUGGAUACGGGCAGGCUAGAGUUCGGUAGGGGAGACUGGAAUUCCUGGUGUAGCGGUGAAAUGCGCAGAUAUCAGGAGGAACACCGGUGGCGAAGGCGGCUCACUGGCUCGUAACUGACGCUCAUGCACGAAAGCGUGGGGAUCAAACAGG